UCUCCCCGUGGUCUCCCGUGCCAUCCAGAGAGUGAAGAGGGGUCCCUUCAAACACGAAAACACUCCGGGGCGAGGUGUGGAAAGUACCUAUCUGGAAGGGACAUUCUCCACCCAGUACCCCACCCAGAGCCCCUGUGGAGUUUAUGUCCCUCUGCAAUUCAUCUGCUUACAUCAGUUGGCCGACAGAACCAACCUGCUGGGAACCAGUGAGGAUGCUACAGCAUCUUCUCACUUGCCUCGUGCAAGCCUAGGAUACUCCUCCUUCUGUGUCUCCUCCCCUCCUCCUCCUUGGCAAUCUCCACCUCCUCUUCCUCUGGAACAAGGGCUUCCCCUGGAAGCUGCUGCAGUGGUUUCCACCGGCCCUUAAAUAAAUUCUGAAGUAAUCACG